rnacentral:rRNA from 1 species
GAUGAACGCUGGCGGCGUGCCUAAUACAUGCAAGUCGAGCGAACAGACGAGGAGCUUGCUCCUCUGACGUUAGCGGCGGACGGGUGAGUAACACGUGGAUAACCUACCUAUAAGACUGGGAUAACUUCGGGAAACCGGAGCUAAUACCGUAUAAUAUAUUGAACCGCAUGGUUCAAUAGUGAAAGACGGUUUUGCUGUCACUUAUAGAUGGAUCCGCGCUGCAUUAGCUAGUUGGUAAGGUAACGGCUUACCAAGGCAACGAUGCGUAGCCGACCUGAGAGGGUGAUCGGCCACACUGGAACUGAGACACGGUCCAGACUCCUACGGGAGGCAGCAGUAGGGAAUCUUCCGCAAUGGGCGAAAGCCUGACGGAGCAACGCCGCGUGAAUGAUGAAGGUCUUCGGAUCGUAAAACUCUGUUAUUAGGGAAGAACAAAUGUGUAAGUAACUAUGCACGUCUUGACGGUACCUAAUCAGAAAGCCACGGCUAACUACGUG